AAAACCAUUCAAAUAGACCUUUAAACUCAAAAAAGUGACCCGAGAUAUUGACUUAAUGAAAACUCGACAUCAUGAUAGAAAUUAAAGCAAAAGCAGAGAGGACGACCCCUCAAACUCAGUAUUUACUGAUUGAACAUACUCAACUACAUCAUACCACUGCAAAGAGAUUCAGAAGCAAAAAAUUCGAUCACGACAGAAAACAGACCACUGUAAACUAACUCUCAUAGCUCAAAAUCACCAGAACAAAACAAAGUCACAUAGAAUAAAGGAGAGGAAAAUUGCACCUGAAUUUGCGAAUCUCUUUUAUAACAAUUAUAAACUUGACAAGACGACAGUAGAAAACCAAUCUCGAACUUCAAUUUUUAUUUCCUUGGAAGUCACAUUCAGAUUCAAAAAUAAAAUUUAUAUAUAUGUUUCUCUUAAACUUUGAAAAAACUCUUCAAAAAAAGAAAUUGAAUCAGAAAACCUGAAAUAAAAUCGAAGCCUCUCAACUUUUCUCAAAAUUUCUCCUCAAAAUUUAUGUUCUCAAAAUUUCUGUCCUCAAAUUUCUGUUCCCCUUCUCAAAAUCGGACCUGGCCCUAUUUGAAAAUGAAUCCUUUGAUGAACGUAUGGCUCAGAUUGAAUGAACUCAAUCUAAUGUCUCACACUCAUCCAGCGAAUCCACUCCAGAACAUUUCAAUUUGUGAGAUAUAUCAAAUUCGAGCGGCGAGAGAGGAUAAGAAUCUUGCGUCAGAAAUCCUAAGAACUGUAACAGGAGGAACUGGGGAACGUGUGGUUGAGGAUCUAAUCUUCUCUCGCCAGAACUUGGACUAGGUUGGGUUUUGUUCGAAUGGCGUUAGGAGAAGAGGAGCAGGGUUGCAUUGCUUGAGCUCAGGAGAUUAAGGUUCCUGAGCGUUUUGUGUUGUAAUUUGGUGCAGGUCGGGUCGGCGAGCGGGUCGG
rnacentral:lncRNA from 1 species